rnacentral:sRNA from 1 species
UACAAGGCUUUGGAGCCUGAAAUCCUCUCUGCUCAGCCCAGGCAGAACCUGGGAAAGCUUCCCUCUUGCUGUGCCUCAACCCUGAGCUGAAGGGACCAAUCUCUAGAGCUCAAAGGGGGAGUUCAGUCAUUGUGCCACUCUCCUGUGAUUGC